rnacentral:rRNA from 1 species
CCCUUAGAUGUUCUGGGCCGCACACGCGCUACACUGAAGGAGGCAGCGUGUACUCCUGGAUCGAAAGAUUUGGGUAACCCGCGAAUCUCCUUCGUGCUAGGGAUUGAGGUUUGCAAUUAUCCUCCAUGAACGAGGAAUUCCCAGUAAGUGCAAGUCAUAAGCUUGCGCUGACUACGUCCCUGCCCUUUGUACACACCGCCCGUCGCUACUACCGAUUGAAUGAUUUAGUGAGGACUUCGGACUGGGACCGAUGCGGCUUUCGGGCUGCGUCGGUAUUCUGGAAAGAUAUCCAAACUGUAUCAUUUAGAGGAAGUAAAAGUCGUANCA